GAUGGAAUGAUUUGGUCAAUCAAUAGUGUGCUCGAGCACUUUGAUUCGAAAUUCUGAAGUGCUGAUUCGACUUUCUUUUGCACUUUGAUUCUUCUUCUAUUUCAUGGUCAAACUAGAAACGAGUAAUUUUGCAGAUUUAACUUGGCCUCAACUGUAUGAUUUGUGCCAUAACUAGAAUCUCAUUGUGGGAUGCCAUCUUGAUGACUACUAAUUUUUCGAAUUUCAUAGAUUUUAGCUCCACUCCCAAUUGGGUUUGCCGUCUUUUUGGUUCACUUGGCAACAAUCCCCAUCACUGGAACCGGUAUCAACCCAGCCCGAAGCCUUGGUGCUGCCAUCAUUUACAACAAAGAUCACGCUUGGGACGACCAUGUAAGUUUUACGUCUGUAACUUCCAUAGACUAUGUUCUUACCUGUUCAUGACAUAUGAUUAGGCGCCCGGCCGUACUUAUAUUUGUGUCACUUCUGUCUUUCUUCAGUGGAUCUUUUG
rnacentral:lncRNA from 1 species